AGCCUCAGACUCAGAAAUCCGCCUGCCUCUGCCUCCCAAGUGCUGGGAUUAAAGGCAUGCGCCACCACUGCCCGAGGACCCUGGCUAUUCUUAUGACCAGAGCAAGCCAGUGGUCCUGCACUUACCCCCCAGAGUCAGCGUCAUGGUCAGUCUGUACAGGACGUUGUCCAUUCCCCCGCCUUUCAAGUGUACUGGGAGGUCAUUGUCGGCCUGAGUUGGAGGGGUGAGAACAGGGUUGCUGGCUCCUGCACAGACCUCCACCUGCCCAGCGACCCCCACCCCUCAUUAGGUCCAGAGACUCUGUCCCGCCUACCUGGAAGAGCUUCUGCUUCUCUGCCACACGGUUUUCUAAGUGGCUUCUGGUAGAUGAGCUAAAAGACCGGACCAGAGCCUGGGAGACCUGGAGGGAUAGGAGAUGGGUCUGUAGGGAGCACCUGGAGAUCUGCCCUCAUGUGGAUCCCGCAGGAAGGGAGCGCUUUGCGAUGUGGGGACUACAUUUCUGAUGAAGAACUAGCAAGAACACACGCGUGAGAAACCGGAUCCUUCUGCAGCAACUUUAUUACACCAGUUUCAACAUGAAGAGGAAGACCCCAAGCACCAAAAAGGCGCUGCUUAUAUACACCUUAGUGUGGCGUGUCCACACCUGAUUGGCUGCUCUCCCAGAGCCUCAUCAUCAUGCCCCGGGAUGGGCCAAGACUUGGCACGAAAACAUUCUCGCACAUGCGCACAUUGCUUGUUUACCAAUUAAGCCACACAGGCACAGCGAAACCGCUUCCCACAAGAAAGAAAAAAACAAAAAAGGCUAGCAAAUCAGCUCUAUGGUUCAGCAUGCUUGCUGUUUGAUCCUAUAAGGUUGUCCUGGGUCUAGAGACCCUCACUCAAUAAAUAGGAACCAAGAAAGACCCUGUCGUCAGCUUUUGGCCUACAGUACAUGGAGCCCUGUGCAUGUUUACAUGUAAGCCCCCGCCCCAAGCCAGGCAUAGCAGCCCAUACCCCAGGGUUUAGGAGGUAGAGACAAGAAGAAUUAGGAGGACAAGGCUAACCUUGGUUACCUGUGGAGUUCAAGGCCAUUAUGUGAAUCCCUUCAUUUAAAAACAAGCAAGCCUCUGGCAUGGUGGUGUGUGUCCCUGAUCCCAGGACUCAGGAGGCAGACAGAUCUCUGUGAGUCUAAGAAGUCUACCUAGUCUAUAGAGUAAGAUCCAGGACAGCCAGGGCUACAUAUUGAUGCCCUGUCUCAAGCAAAACAAAACAGCAAGCAAGCAAAGGAACAGAAAAUUGCUUGUGGUGGAAGGCAGGUAUCAGAACUGGCUGCAUGCAGUGGCCUAGAUUGCAAAACCUGUUUGGUAGCAUUGUGCUGCCAUCUUGUGGCAAAAACACUCAACUGCUCCUCCAACCUGACUCCUUCCACGAAUCUGAUAAUUCUGGAUUUACAUUUUCAACCCUACUCUGCGAUGCCCCCUCCCACUUUGUCCCCCAGACAGGGUCUUGCCACAUAAUUCAGGCCUGCCUGGAACUCGGGAUUCUCACGUCUCACCCUGCUGACUAUUGUAGUCUCAACCAAGUAUCACAAACCAGGCUUACAAUUGUCAUUUUAAAAUGUUUCCAAUGUAGGAAAGCAGAUGCCCCCAAAGUGCUUUAAGGUAUGCCAUAAGUUCACACCUAUAAACCUUGUGGGAGGCUUAGGCAGGGUGGUUUUGAGUUCCAGGAUAGCCAAGGCUGUAUAGAGGGACUCUGCCACAAAACGAAACCCACUAGUACUUCUGUUUGAAUGAAGGUAGCCGCUGUGUAACAGAAAAUACAUCUUUGUCUUUGCCUCCAGCUCCUAGUACCCAGCUCCUGAGAUUCUUUGAACCAUUAGAAGGAUUGACGAUGUUACUUAUGCAUUGAUAUCUGGUGGCCCGCAAAUAGGUUGAGUAUGAGCCUGGGCACCAGAAAGACCAAGGCACAGAGAAAGGGCAUCCAGCUCUCAGUAUCCUGGGCUUCUAGGGAGGGGGUGUUUGGGAGAUGUUGGAAUCACUUAUUGUCCAUAAUUAAAUACCUUAAUAUGUAAUUAAAUAGCCCUUUGGCAGGCUCCAGGACUGUGACUGUAUUAAAGGAUUAGGUAGAUGGCUAGUGCCUGGGCAUUGGUGGUACACUUCAAUCCCAGCACUCAGGAGGCAGAGGCAGGCAGAUCUCUGAGUUGAAGGCUAGCCCAGUCUACAGAACAAGUGGUAGACAGCCAGGGGUACACAGAAAGACCCUGUCUUGAAAAAACAAAAAGGAAACUGGCUGGCGCUGAGAGGAAAGCGGUUCCAGUCUGUGUACCCCGCCCCUCCUAUGCAUCUCCUCUCUCUGAGUCCCUGAGUUUUAGGUUUUAUAAAUAAAUAUUUAAAACUGUGGCAAAUAUCUGUGAUCUCAACACUUGGGAGGUAGAGUCAGGAGGACUAGUUCUACUUUAUCCUUAGCUGUAGAGGAACUCUGAGGCUAGCCUGGGCUACAUGAGAACCUGACUUGUUCCAUUUCCCAACUCCCAAAGUAAGCAGAAAGUACUGUCCAUGUUCAUUUUGGAGUUCAAGGUUUUUUUUUUUUUUGGUUUUUGUUUUUGUUUGUUUUAAAGCUGUAUAUAAUUUAUGUGCACCAGGUACAUGCUGGUGACUGGAGAGGCCAGAAGUGGAUCCUGGAUCCCCUGAAACUGGAGUUAUGAGUUAUGGGUGGUCGUGAACCACAAUGCUGGGAACCAAACUCCGGUCUUCUGCAGAAGCAACAAGGGCUCUUAAUGGCUGGCCAUCCCUCCAAUGCCCCUCCCUUUUUGAGGCAGGGUCUCACUCUGCAGCCUUGGCUUGUCUGGAUCACUUGCUUCUGCCUCCAGAGUGCUAGGCCCAGAGGACAUGAGCCACCACAUCCAACUAAGUCUCUCAAUCUUAAUUACGGAUUGCAGGGAAUGCCACGGUGGCAGAUGCACGGCAAAGUACACCAUGGAGGUCUUCUACAUGUUAGGACAGUCUCUUCUAAAAACCAAA